UACGGAGGGAGCAAGCGUUACUCGGAAUUAUUGGGCGUAAAGGGCGCGUAGGCGAUUUAACAAGUCUUGUGUGAAAGCCCCGGGCUUAACUCGGGAAGUGCACAAGAAACUGUUGAAUUUGAGUUCCGGAGAGGAAGGCAGAAUUCCCGGUGUAGCGGUGAAAUGCGUAGAUAUCGGGAGGAAUACCAGUGGCGAAGGCGGCCUUCUGGACGGAUACUGACGCUGAGGCGCGAAAGCCAGGGGAGCAAACGGG
rnacentral:rRNA from 2 species